rnacentral:rRNA from 1 species
GUGCCAGCAGCCGCGGUAAGACGAACCGUGCGAACGUUAUUCGGAUUCACUGGGCUUAAAGGGCGCGUAGGCGGACGAGCAAGUCCGGGGUGAAAUCUUUCGGCUCAACCGGAAAAGUGCCUUGGAUACUGCUCGCCUUGAGUGAGGUAGGGGCAUGUGGAACUUCCGGUGGAGCGGUGAAAUGCGUUGAUAUCGGAAGGAACGCCGGUGGCGAAAGCGACGUGCUGGCCCUCAACUGACGCUGAGGCGCGAAAGCCAGGGGAGCAAACGGGAUUAGAAACCCUCGUAGUCC